rnacentral:lncRNA from 1 species
AUAAGCAUUAUUCUUGGUUUUCGCACAAUAACUUUAGUUUAAGUAAAUAGAAAUCAAUGAAAUUUAAACACAAUGUAAAUGACUACAAAAGGAAGGUUGGUAUUGAUUUUGGGAGUUUAGGUCCCAACAGUUUAGGAAUUAGGGGCCAAAAAGGGACCCAAAUAAGCAUUUUUCUUGGUUUUCGCACCAUAACGUUAGUAUAGGUAAAUAGAAAUCUAUGAAAUUUAAACACAAGGUUUAUGACCAUAAAAGGAAGGUUGGUAUUGAUUUUGGGAGUUUUGGUCCCAACAGAAUAAGG